rnacentral:rRNA from 1 species
CCUACGGGAGGCAGCAGUGAGGAAUAUUGGUCAAUGGGCGCAAGCCUGAACCAGCCAAGUCGCGUGAGGGAUUAAUGUUCUACGGAUCGUAAACCUCUUUUAUAAGGGAAUAAAGUGAGGCACGUGUACCAUUUGGUAUGUACAUUAUGAAUAAUGAUCGGCUAACACCGUGCCAGCAGCCGCGGUAAUACGGAGGAUCCGAGCGUUAGCCGGAUUUAUUGGGUUUAACGGGUGCGUAGCUGGCUUUUUAAGUCAGUGGUGAAAGUCGGGGGCUCAACCAUAAAAUUGCCGUUGAUACUGGGAGGCUUGAGUAUGUUAGAGGCAGGCGGAAUUCGUGGUGUAGCGGUGAAAUGCUUAGAUAUCACGAAGAACACCGAUUGCGAAGGCAGCCUGCUAAGCAAUGACUGACGCUGAUGCACGAAAGCGUGGGGAUCAAACAGGAUUAGAUACCCCAGUAGUC